AGGAAUAUUGGUCAAUGGGCGAGAGCCUGAACCAGCCAAGUAGCGUGCAGGAUGACGGCCCUAUGGGUUGUAAACUGCUUUUAUAAGGGAAUAAAGUGAGUCUCGUGAGACUUUUUGCAUGUACCUUAUGAAUAAGGACCGGCUAAUUCCGUGCCAGCAGCCGCGGUAAUACGGAAGGUCCGGGCGUUAUCCGGAUUUAUUGGGUUUAAAGGGAGCGUAGGCCGGAGAUUAAGCGUGUUGUGAAAUGUAGACGCUCAACGUCUGCACUGCAGCGCGAACUGGUUUCCUUGAGUACGCACAAAGUGGGCGGAAUUCGUGGUGUAGCGGUGAAAUGCUUAGAUAUCACGAAGAACUCCGAUUGCGAAGGCAGCUCACUGGAGCGCAACUGACGCUGAAGCUCGAAAGUGCGGGUAUCGAACAGGAUUAGAUACCCUGGUAGUCCGCACGGUAAACGAUGGAUGCCCGCUGUUGGUCUGAACAGGUCAGCGGCCAAGCGAAAGCAUUAAGCAUCCCACCUGGGGAGUACGCCGGCAACGGUGAAACUCAAAGGAAUUGACGGGGGCCCGCACAAGCGGAGGAACAUGUGGUUUAAUUCGAUGAUACGCGAGGAACCUUACCCGGGCUUGAAUUGCAGAGGAAGGAUUUGGAGACAAUGACGCCCUUCGGGGUCUCUGUGAAGGUGCUGCAUGGUUGUCGUCAGCUCGUGCCGUGAGGUGUCGGCUUAAGUGCCAUAACGAGCGCAACCCCUCUCCUUAGUUGCCAUCAGGUCAUGCUGGGCACUCUGGGGACACUGCCACCGUAAGGUGUGAGGAAGGUGGGGAUGACGUCAAAUCAGCACGGCCCUUACGUCCGGGGCUACACACGUGUUACAAUGGCAGGUACAGAGAGACGGUCCCUUGCAAAAGGGAUCAAAUCCUCAAAGCCUGUCUCAGUUCGGACUGGGGUCUGCAACCCGACCCCACGAAGCUGGAUUCGCUAGUAAUCGCGCAUCAGCCAUGGCGCGGUGAAUACGUUCCCG
rnacentral:rRNA from 1 species